rnacentral:rRNA from 1 species
UACGUAUGGGGCAAGCGUUAUCCGGAUUUACUGGGUGUAAAGGGAGCGUAGGCGGCAGGGCAAGCCUGAUGUGAAAGCCCGGGGCUCAACUCCGGGACUGCUUUUGAAACUGUGUGACUGGAGUGCAGGAGAGGUAAGCGGAAUUCCUAGUGUAGCGGUGAAAUGCGUAGAUAUUAGGAGGAACACCAGUGGCGAAGGCGGCUUACUGGACUGUAACUGACGUUGAGGCUCGAAAGCGUGGGGAGCAAACAGG